GCCCCUGUGGCGGAAUUGGUAGACGCGACAGACUCAAAAUCUGUUGGGGGUAACUCCGUGCUGGUUCGAGUCCGGCCAGGGGCA
rnacentral:tRNA from 1 species